rnacentral:rRNA from 1 species
GAUGAACGCUGGCGGCGUGUUUAACACAUGCAAGUCGAGCGAGAAUCCUGCAGAACAACUCUUCGGAUGAGUUCAGCAGGAGGAAAGCGGCGGACGGGUGAGUAACGCGUAGGCAACCUGCCCUUUGCAGAGGGAUAGCCUCGGGAAACCGGGAUUAAAACCUCAUAAAGCCAAAUGGUGACAUCAUCAAAUGGCCAAAGAUUUAUCGGCAAGGGAUGGGCCUGCGUCUGAUUAGUUAGUUGGUGAGGUAACGGCUCACCUAGGCAAUGAUAGGUAGGCGGCCUUAACGGGUGGUCGCCCACACUGGGAUUGAGAUACGGCCCAGACUCCUACGGGAGGCAGCAGUCGAGAAUAGUCUACAAUGGUCGGAAGACUGAUAGUGCGACGCCGCGUGAACGAUGAAUCCCUUCGGGUGUAAAGUUCUUUUAUAUGUGAGCAGUGCUUCUUAUAUUAACAGUAUGGGGAGAGAGAUAUUAGCAUAUGAAU